rnacentral:misc_RNA from 1 species
AAGGAGUUGUACUUUUGUGCGAGUGUGCGGGUAGUAAACCCAUGCGCGUAAUGAAAGUGAUCGUAACGACCCGCAAGGGACAGUUAUGACCGACCCUUAUCCUCGGUGACGGGUUUGAGUAUGAGCACACGCGGACGGACCCGAAAGAAGGUGAACUAUGCCUGGGUAGGGUGAAGCCAGGGGAAACUCUGGUGGAGGCUCGUAGCGAUUCUGACGUGCAAAUCGAUCGUCAAAUAUCGGCAGGGGGGCGAAAGACUAAUCGAACCUUCUAGUAGCUGGUUCCUCC